ACUCAAAGGAAUUGACGGGGGCCCGCACAAGCAGCGGAGCAUGUGGUUUAAUUCGACGCAACGCGAAGAACCUUACCUGGGCUUGACAUGUUCCUGACAGCCGUGGAAACACGGUCUCCCUUCGGGGCAGGAUCACAGGUGGUGCAUGGCUGUCGUCAGCUCGUGUCGUGAGAUGUUGGGUUAAGUCCCGCAACGAGCGCAACCCCCGUCGCAUGUUGCCAGCAUUUAGUUGGGGACUCAUGCGAGACUGCCGGUGACAAACCGGAGGAAGGUGGGGAUGACGUCAAGUCAUCAUGCCCCUUAUGUCCAGGGCUACACACGUGCUACAUUGGCGCGUACAGAGGGUUGCGAUACCGCGAGGUGGAGCGAAUCCCUUAAAGCGCGUCUCGGUUCGGAUUGUAGGCUGAAACUCGCCUGCAUGAAGGCGGAGUUGCUAGUAAUCGCGGAUCAGCACUGCCGCGGUGAAUACGUUCCCGGGCCUUGUACACACCGCCCGU
rnacentral:rRNA from 1 species